rnacentral:rRNA from 1 species
UACAGAGGUCUCAAGCGUUGUUCGGAUUCAUUGGGCGUAAAGGGUGCGUAGGCGGCGCGGUAAGUCGGGUGUGAAAUCGUCGGGGCUUAACUCCGAAACUGCAUUCGAUACUGCCGUGCUUGAGGACUGGAGAGGAGACUGGAAUUUACGGUGUAGCGGUGAAAUGCGUAGAUAUCGUAAGGAAGACCAGUGGCGAAGGCGGGUCUCUGGACAGUUCCUGACGCUGAGGCACGAAGGUCAGGGGAGCAAACGGG